rnacentral:misc_RNA from 1 species
AAUUUGAGGAUUCUUAAUUUUAAAUCAAAUACAAGUGAAAUUUGCUUGUGCUGCUAUUUCAUGAAUUAUGUAGUUAUAAGGUAAAAACAACCAAGUGCAGCUUGAAAUAAACUUCAAGUGUGAGACUGCUGUUUGAAUUGAACUAGAACUUGAUCAUAAAAGGACUUAAUAAUUUUAUCUUUGCUGUCCUUUUUAAAAAUUGAGAUUGAUGUAUCAAUCCUGGAGUUUGAUUAAAUAAUUGUUCAUUCUCCUUUUAUAGGCGCAGUGUACAAAUUGACAUACUUGCAACUAUCUUCUGCUUUAGGGUUUUCCAUAUCUAACUGGAUUCUACAAAUUGCUAUUUUUCCUUAGACCAAAAAAAAGAAAAAUGUAUUAAGUAUCCUACUUUUCCUAACACGGUAUAUCAU